rnacentral:RNase_P_RNA from 1 species
GGAGUUGAUUAAACAAUCGCUGCUUCUAUAUUUACAAUUAUUUGAUAUUAUUAACAAGUAAUGUUUUGUGAAUAGAAUAAGGAGAGGAAAGUCCGGGCUCCAUAGGACAGAGUGCCAGGUAAUACCUGGGAGAUGUGAAUCUACGACCAGUGCAACAGAAAGAACACCGCCUGUGAUUAAUAUUAUCAAUUCUAUAUAUAGAAUAUAUGUGUAGGAAAAAUAUGUGUUUAUUACACGGUAAGGGUGAAAAGGUGUGGUAAGAGCACACCGCACGAAUUGGUAACAGUUCGUGUCAUGUAAACUCCACUCGGAGCAAGGCUAAAUAUAAGUUCUAUAGUAUGUCCGUACUGAACUUGGGUAAGCUGCUAAAACUAAUAUGCAAAUAUUAGUUUAGAUGAAUGAUUGUUCGAGACAGAACCCGGCUUAACGAUCGACUCCUUAU